UAUGGGUUAGUGGCGACGGGUGAGUAACGCGUGGGUAACCUGCCUUACACAGGGGGAUAACACUUAGAAAUAGGUGCUAAAACCGCAUAAGCGCACAGCUUCGCAUGAAGCGGUGUGAAAAACUCCGGUGGUGUAAGAUGGACCCGCGUCUGAUUAGCUUGUUGGCGGGGUAACGGCCCACCAAGGCGACGAUCAGUAGCCGGCCUGAGAGGGCGGACGGCCACAUUGGGACUGAGACACGGCCCAAACUCCUACGGAAGGCAGCAG
rnacentral:rRNA from 1 species